CCCAGCGUUAUUACUUGGGGCUCCUUACUGGUCUCCUUGGUCCUAUCAGCAAAAGGGUUAAAAGCUAACUUCUCUGUGGACUUUUUGCACCUUGAGGGCAGAAACGGAUAAUUACAAGAGAAACCGGAACCAGGUGUGUGUGUGACUCACUGUCAAGGUGUGGUGGCGUUACCCACAUAAGUCACAUUUCACUCUGAGCAAGUGAGCAGGUGACAGAGCACCCACAGAGCGUGAGCGGUGAGGAUACCCUGUCAUACUUCUCGGAAGUCUGGUUCUCGCUGAUCUCGUUGCUGCGGAUCAUGGAAGUCUCUGCUCACCACCCCUUCCUCCCAGGCAAAUGCCAGCGUAGUGCCCAGCAGCUCAACAGCCUUCGUGGAACUCAGCACCCACUGAGCUGUGACUCUCUUCCUGCUGCGGACACCCCCGCUGCCAACCCCGCAGCCUCCCUGUGAUGUCGGCAGACUCUCAUCCCUCCAGAAACAGAGGCUGAAAUGAACCUUCCCUCCUGGCUGCUGCAGGGGUGAACUGACAUUGACCAUUCCAGGGAAAUUGCUUCAUAGAAGGCUCUGUCUGGCUCCGUGAAAGGUCAUAUUUAGGAUGCACAAUGCCGCACUGUUCCAGUCCGUUGCAGAAAAGCCGCGCGCCUUAGGCUGAAGAUGUGCACAGUACUGUGAAGUGUGCAAAGGAAACCAGCCACGGGACGUGGUGGACACGCCUACGGUCAGGAGCCUCAGCCCCGUCAGGCCAGGUCGCCGGCCACCGUGACCCCGACUCACCGCACACGCUGUCAGUCGUGGUUGCCGCGGUACCCAGAUGACCUACAUUUCUCCAGCAGCAGCUGGGGCAGACAUUCUGGGGUAAUUAACAGCCAUGUACACGUGUGCACACAGACAGCCGGGUCAGCCCGCCAACGGCUGGCACACUGGCUGUCUAGACAGGGUAGGAGUUCAGUGGCUUCCUGCCAUGGAGGCGGCUGCUUGGAACUGCAGCCAAGAUCACGGAGGUGGGGAGUGGAAGGGACGCUGUCCCCGAGGUGGGAGGUGGUCACUCUUCCUCCCCAUUGUAAAGGGAAUGUACCCCACAGUGGGCCUUCGGAGGGCAGUGUCCUCAGAAAGCUAUCAGGCCACGAGACCAACGUCCCUGCACAGAAAGGCUGUGCUGUGUUGUAUGUCACUGUGCUUGCCAAGGGACAAUAGACACCAACAGAUCUGUUAGCGGUAGGACCAGGCAGUAUCACCGACCGUCACAUGCAGAGUCAGUCUGUUGGCCUGUGCUGUCUCUCCUAAAAUAUACAUUUUAAAAGGG